rnacentral:misc_RNA from 1 species
UUUUUUUUUUGAAGUAAAAUAAUCUAAUUUAAACUAACAGCUUGCUGGAAGGCGUCUGCCUUAUCUACUAUCUGUGGCUGCUCAAUGUUGAAGCACUUCUUAAAUUCAAAAUUUUCUAAAAUAAGUGUGAAAUGAUAACUUUCCUGUAAACUUAAUCCCGUGACCUGUGUGUUCUAAAUGGAAACCUCUUUAUAGAUCUGACUAUUUUAAGUGGAGGCAAGCUGUAGUCAUUGAUUAUAACGCUAUUGGAAUUUGACAUGUUUAGCAUGUAUUAUAACAAGCCAGACUUUGGAGGCAGUUUUCUGUUAAACAUUCAUAUGGUGCUUAUAAUUGAUAAUCAUCUAAAAGUGAAGUACAUCAAGUAAGCUGGCAUUACCCUGCAGUAGUUUGCCAAUUGUUGGACUUGGUUCAAUAUAUAUUUUGUCAACCUAACUAGUUUGACAUAACAAGUAAAUAAAGGGCUUAAAUUUUUUAUAAUAUUUUUGUUUUUACGAAAUGUUUAUGAAAAAAAUGUACUUGGAUGUGCUAAUUGUUCCAUGAUAAUCUGAGAAAGGGAGAAAAACAGCAUAUGGCUUAGUUUUUUGAAUCUUAUAGACUGAUAUUUUUAUGCUUUCCUUAUUGCAGUUAUUAAAUCAAAUUGUAUGUGAG